CACCUUUGACAUGGCAGGAAGUUUCCAGAGAUGGAUUCGUGCCCGAAAGGGAACCUGCACACAGGUGCUGCAUGGCUGUCGUCAGCUCGUGUCGUGAGAUGUUGGGUUAAGUCCCGCAACGAGCGCAACCCUUGCCAUUAGUUGCUACGAAAGGGCACUCUAAUGGGACUGCCGGUGACAAACCGGAGGAAGGUGGGGAUGACGUCAAGUCCUCAUGGCCCUUAUAGGUGGGGCUACACACGUCAUACAAUGGCUGGUACAGAGGGUUGCCAACCCGCGAGGGGGAGCUAAUCCCAUAAAGCCAGUCGUAGUCCGGAUCGCAGUCUGCAACUCGACUGCGUGAAGUCGGAAUCGCUAGUAAUCGCGGAUCAGAAUGUCGCGGUGAAUACGUUCCCGGGUC
rnacentral:rRNA from 1 species